CAUGGAUCGAUGAUGUGAUUGUUAACUGCGUUAUCUAUCUUGAACUUCUCAAGUACUGAAGAAAAACAUUAUCUGCUGAGAUCCAAG